UACGGGGGGGGUAAGCGUUGUUCGGAAUUACUGGGCGUAAAGGGCUCGUAGGCGGCCAACUAAGUCGGACGUGAAAUCCCCUCAGCUUAACUGGGGAACUGCGUCCGAUACUGGAUGGCUUGGAUUUGGGAGAGGGAUGCGGAAUUCCUGGUGUAGCGGUGAAAUGCGCAGAUAUCAGGAGGAACACCGGUGGCGAAGGCGGGGUCUCUGGGCCGAUACUGACGCUGGAGGAGCGAAAAGCGUGGGGGAGCGAACAGG
rnacentral:rRNA from 1 species